GAGAUGUGCUGAACUUCCUGCGUUC
rnacentral:piRNA from 1 species